UCACGAUAUGGUGCUGGCAUUCCUAACC
rnacentral:piRNA from 1 species